CGCUGACGAGUGGGGACGGGUGAGUAAUGUCUGGGAAACUGCUGAUGGAGGGGGAUAACUACUGGAAACGGUAGCUAUACCGUACGUCGCGACCAGAGGGGGACCUUCGGGCCUCUUGCCUCGGAUGUGCCCAUGGGAUAUAGCUAGUAANGUUGGGUGUAACNGUGCUCACCUAGUGCUGACGAUCCCGUAGCGUUGGGUUCUGAGNAGUGAUUGACCAUGCCGACACGUGGAACU
rnacentral:rRNA from 1 species